UUUGUUCAAUACUGCUCUUUCUGCUUGGAUGCUUUUUCGUGUUUGAUUUAUCGAGGAGACUAAGGUGAUUUGUGUAGUUCCCAUCCUUUUCUUUCAGAUGUAAGUUGAUGACUGUGUGUGAGUUAACUAUGAGAAGUUAAAUUAGUUUGUGAAAAUCAUUAGCCUUCUGUUGUUUGCACCUUUCAGCUAGAUCUAGAAUUCGAAAUCUAUAACUAUGACAGGCCAACAAAACUUGGUUCUUUCUUGACACAUAGAUCACCAACCACCAACAAGAUAACUCGUGUUGGUACUGUGAGAUGAGGUAUUGAAUGUUAAAGCUACUACUGGAUUGUGUUUUCUGAGUAUAAAAUGCAGGUGCCUGUGUAGUCUGCCUUCUUGUUUUUGGAGUGCUUUUGGUGUGGACUUUAUUCAGGAACAUUCACCAUGGUUUAGAUCCCUGACCUACAUAAUGCAAUACAAGGGGGAAAAUGAUUUUUUGUUGUUAGCUAAACAUCUCUAAACUCUCGUCAUCAUAUUGAAAUCUAAUUUAUCAAUUCCCUAUGCUCGGUCACCAUUGCUCAUUUUUUUAAAAGAUUUUUUGAUCCUUGUACUGAUCUUCUGUACAUCUUACUCUAAUAUUUGGUUCAUGUCCAUUCAUCAGUGAUUUUUCUAAUGUAUCUUGCCUGAUGUUGUCAAAAUAUUCUAAAUCUCCUUCUCUUUCAUGCCUGUCUUUUUUCUUUUGAUGUUUUAUCUCUGACUUUAUUCGGCAGGAAUUCGCUUUUACAUAGAAGCUGGCAAGCCCAGAAGAAAACAAUGAUGUGAAAACUCUGGAAACACAGCCCGAUAAGCAAAGAAACAAGAAGUCCAUCAUCUGGGAACACUUCACAAUAGAAAUUAUGAGUCCUGGACAUAUAAGGGCAUGCUGUAAGCAGUGCAAUCAAAGUUUUGCCUAUGGCACAGGCUCAAAGGUCAUUAGCACCAGCCAGCAAAGCCCAAUUACAUGAAAAAGGGGCAUCAAUUGGUUUACGGCAGACCCAUCAAUUAGUUUCCCCUCGAAAUCAAGGCAGAUGCAUGCCAUGGAACCUUUGGAAGAUCCUUCAUGGAAAGUUAUGUCAAUGUUUGGCUUGAGAACUUGGUAGUUUCCAUCUUGUGGGAUCUGGUAAGUGAUGCUUGAAAAUAAAGGAAUAUCUUUAUGUCCAAAUAUGCCAAAAAGUGACCGUGAUCAGUUCAAAAGACGGGGGGCUUUGAGGUGAUUACCAAUCUCCAAUGGCCAUCCUUCAAUUCAAAUAACUUCCUGAUUUGAAAUCCCAAUGCCUAUCUCAGAGGCCAACCUUAUCUGUUUCGUCCUUUGACAAAGAAGGAACAGAUGUUUGACAGUUUCAAGUUCCUUUUCGCAAAGAGGGCAUCUCGACUCAGGUUCUGCUGAGAGAGUUGGCAAGAUAGGACUAUGGUCGGAGCCUAUAGCAGUGUACAAAAUUUUCAUUGAAGCUCAGUCUCCCCCACCCCCAACCAAAUUGAGGAAGCUGGUUUUGGAGGUUGAUUAUUGGAGCGUAUACAAAUUAGGUCAAACAUUUCAUUGUGACUGAGUCCAUUGUUGGCACCACCCUGUCAAUUGGUUCUUGACUCUCUGUUCCCAUCAGAAAAAUAAUGCCAGGCCUUUCCAGAGCCUCAAUGCCAAGAUUGUCUAGGGUGUGCCCAACCACUGAUAAUUCCAGCAUAAAAUUUUCAUGGGAACCUCAAAGGCUUAUUAAUGCUAGCCGCCACCAAAGCCCAUAUCUGAGGAUCCUCCCAAACCUGAAUUGAAGUUUCCAAAAGUUUGGUCUCAUCUAAGGCAAGAGAGUUCACCUUUUGAGAAGCAUAAGGACUAUACCUUCACUGUGUUUUGUCUCCGCCUGUUUUCUUCAUCUUGCUACAUUUCUUUUGGGGCCCUUUUGAGAUGCCUUCUAGCAUUGUAGAGUCGUUUGGAGCUGUUAUCAGCAUCAAGCUCUUUUCUUAGUUUUUUUUAAUGGAUCCGUGUCACCUUUUCCAAUUGCUUCCAUCUCCUCAGCAAAAAUCUAUGCUGACUUUUCCAGAUUGUUCCCACUACUAGGAACCAACGAAGUCUUUCCCCUGGGCUCAGAGGACACCGUUUGCUGGGGGGGCUGGAGUUUCUGGAAUAAUCUCAUUAUCUAUGGUUGUAUCCUCUAGUAUUGCAUAGAACAGCUUCCAAAGAGGAUCUUCUUCCAAAGCAACUAUGAUCAUCAGUUUCUAACCGGUUCUCAUCAUAUUCUUCUUCCAAAGCCUGUUGCUGCUGCUAUUCGCCUUAUGGUUUCCUCCGAGACGUGAUCCAUAGACUUAAAGGUAAAGGCUAAAGUUCUCACAAAUUCUGUUCAUUCCAUUUUCAGACUGCUAAAGUUCUCAAGUCUACCCGAUUAAAGUAACUCGAGAAUCUGAGUUAUCUAAUUCUUCCAUCCAAGAGGCACGAGAGGCAGACAGCUUACUCCAUAUGAAAAAAGUAUAGCAGAAGCAGCUAUUCCAAUAAAUUCAUUCUCGGGGUUGUAUCCCAAUGGAGCGUAAUGGUAAAAUGCUAUCCAAAGACAAUGCAGUGCUCUAGGAGGAUGAUGGGGGUAGGGGGGCUUUUGGGUUGGGGCUUUUGUAAUGGGUUUGAUAUUUGGGCGAGGAUUAACCAUAAUUGUUCCUUUCAGCUAACACGAUGGUCAUUGAUUCCAUGCCUUGUAGGGCGUGAUGCAAAGGGAGAUCGGGUUGUAUCAGAAGUUGGGUUUGGGUUAGCUUAUGGAACAGUGAAUAUGGUUCACGGGGAGGUUGGGGAUUUUGGGGAAAGGGUCAAAGUUGAAAAGGAAAUGGGAGAUUUUCAUCUUGGUAAAGACUAGAUGAAUAGACUGCUGUAUUCAGCGAAGAACAUUAGGGUUUUUUUGGGUGGAAACUGCCACUGUUGGGGUAGGAUUCCCAUCGAGAGAGGAUAUCCAUGAAUUCCAACUCAAUUAGGUAAAAUGUUGGUGGAAAAGGUGCAAAAUUAUAGAUUCCAAAGACACAGCAAACGGGUUUAAAUUUACAUUCCUAUUUGAAGUUCUUAUUUCUACAAGCCAAACACAUGUUCAAGGGAACAAGAAACUGGGAAUUAAAAAUUUUCCUUUCCUUUGAAAAUAAUAAGUGCAGACUUUGUCAUUGACCAUAAGGCUCCUUAGAACUUAAAUGUGGGUUUUCUAGUUCUUUUCUUUAAUUUGUAGUUUUCAUUUUGGGCUGAAAAUUGGAACGCAGGCGUCACGCUUUAUGUAGCAAUUGUCAAGGCCACUGCAAGGUCUCGAUCCUGAACAUCAAUCUGUUGUACAGAAGCCCACACUACUUGCCAUAUUUCAGCGAUGCAGGCACCAUGUCAUUUUGGAUAAUAAUUGUUCUCGUGUUCAGUAGUAGUUGAUCAACAACAAAAAAAGCCCGACAUUAAUGGAAAAUUCUUCGUCACAUUAUGCACAAAAUGAAGAAAAAAGUUGAGUUCUUUCUAGAGAAGAGCAAGCCCCAUUGCAUGCACGAGCAGAAUUGGGAUUCGCAUUUUCUGCUACGUCCUUUGCUCUUUGAAACUAUUCUUUCGUGUAAGAAACAAUGCUGCCGCUGGAGCCCACAAACUUCGAAAGAACCUGAACUUUCACGCAUGACUUCAAUAGCUCCUCAUCCUCAUGCUCUUGGGAAAGUGUCUAUCUA